GAAAGGAAGAAGUUGUAUAUGCUUAAGUGACUUAACCCCAUCCUUGUGUGCAUCAUAUGGUAAGCCCUUUGAGACAAAUGACAUUCUCAUAGAAAAUAUCACCUUGGAUGAUGCCUUUACAGUUAAUUCCUUUCUGUACCACCUCUUUACCUAUUGUGAUAUCCAUUCUAGUCUUGGAUUUUCUUUAUGUAGAGGUAGGAAAAUUAUUGGCUUG
rnacentral:lncRNA from 1 species